GUGCCAGCAGCCGCGGUAACACGGGGGGAGCAAGCGUUGUUCGGAUUCAUUGGGCGUAAAGGGCUCGUAGGCCGCUCUGUAAGUCGGGAGUGAAAGACCACGGCUCAACCGUGGAAACGCUUUCGAAACUGUGGAGCUUGAGGCCGGGAGAGGAGAUUGGAAUUCCUGGUGUAGCGGUGAAAUGCGUAGAUAUCAGGAGGAACACCCGUGGCGAAGGCGAAUCUCUGGACCGGUUCUGACGCUGAUGAGCGAAAGCUAGGGGAGCAAACAGGAUUAGAUACCCUGGUAGUCC
rnacentral:rRNA from 1 species